UACGUAGGGGGCGAGCGUUGUCCGGAUUUAUUGGGCGUAAAGAGCGUGUAGGCGGCCAGGUAGGUCUGCUGUGAAAACUCGAGGCUCAACCUCGAGACGUCGGCGGAAACCAUCUGGCUAGAGUCCGGAAGAGGAGAGUGGAAUUCCUGGUGUAGCGGUGAAAUGCGCAGAUAUCAGGAAGAACACCCGUGGCGAAGGCGGCAUCCUGGACCAUUACUGACGCUGAGGCGCGAAAGCUAGGGGAGCAAACGGG
rnacentral:rRNA from 1 species